AGAGUUUGAUCCUGGCUCAGGACGAACGCUGGCGGCGUGCCUAACACAUGCAAGUCGAACGAGGUCCAUCGAGUGGCAACACUCGUGAAGAUCUAGUGGCGAACGGGUGCGUAACACGUGAGCAACCUGCCCCGAAGACUGGGAUAACGCCGGGAAACCGGUGCUAAUACCGGAUACCCCCACGAGCUCGCAUGGGCUUG
rnacentral:rRNA from 1 species